rnacentral:rRNA from 1 species
CCUACGGGCGGCAGCAGUGAGGAAUAUUUGUCAAUGGGCGCGAGCCUGAACCAGCCAAGUAGCGUGAAGGAUGACUGCCCUACGGGUUGUAAACUUCUUUUAUAAAGGAAUAAAGUGAGGCACGUGUGCCUUUUUGUAUGGACUUUAUGAAUAAGGAUCGGCUAACUCCGUGCCAGCAGCCGCGGUAAUACGGAGGAUCCGAGCGUUGUCCGGAUUGAUUGGGUGUAAGGGGAGCGUAGAUGGGUUGUUAAGUCAGUUGUGAAAGUUUGCGGCUCAACCGUAAAAGUGCAAUUGAUACUGGCAGCCUUGAGUACAGUUGAGGUAGGCGGAAUUCGUGGUGUAGCGGUGAAAUGCUUAGAUAUCACGAAGAACUCCGAUUGCGAAGGCAGCUUACUAAACUGCAACUGACACUGAUGCUCGAAAGUGUGGGUAUCAAACAGGAUUAGAUACCCCGGUAGUC